rnacentral:rRNA from 1 species
AGUGAGCGCUGGCGGUAGGCCUAACACAUGCAAGUCGAACGGCAGCACAGUAAGAGCUUGCUCUUACGGGUGGCGAGUGGCGGACGGGUGAGGAAUACAUCGGAAUCUACUUUUUCGUGGGGGAUAACGUAGGGAAACUUACGCUAAUACCGCAUACGACCUACGGGUGAAAGCAGGGGAUCUUCGGACCUUGCGCGAUUAAAUGAGCCGAUGUCGGAUUAGCUAGUUGGCGGGGUAAAGGCCCACCAAGGCGACGAUCCGUAGCUGGUCUGAGAGGAUGAUCAGCCACACUGGAACUGAGACACGGUCCAGACUCCUACGGGAGGCAGCAGUGGGGAAUAUUGGACAAUGGGCGCAAGCCUGAUCCAGCCAUACCGCGUGGGUGAAGAAGGCCUUCGGGUUGUAAAGCCCUUUUGUUGGGAAAGAAAAGCAGCAGGUUAAUACCCCGCUGUUCUGACGGUACCCAAAGAAUAAGCACCGGCUAACUUCGUG